ensembl:lncRNA
GAGGGAGGUUGGAGGGAAGGAGAGAGAGAGGGAGAAGGUUGGAGGGAGGGAGAGAGAAAGGGAGAAGGUUGGAGGGAGGGAGGUUGGAGGGAAGGAGAGAGAGAGGGAGGAGGUUGGAGGGAGGGAGAGAGAAAGAAAGGGAGAAGGUUGGAGGGAGGGAGAGAGGAAAGGAGAGAGAGAGGGAGAAGGUUGGAGGGAGGGAGAGAGAAAGGAAGAAGGUUGGAGGGAGGGAGAGAGGGAGGUUGGAGGGAAGGAGAGAGAGAGGGAGAAGGUUGGAGGGAGGGAGAGAGAAAGGGAGAAGGUUGGAGGGAGGGAGGUUGGAGGGAAGGAGAGAGAGAGGGAGAAGGUUGGAGGGAGGGAGAGAGAGAGAGGGAGAAGGUUGGAGGGAGGGAGAGAGGGAGGUUGGAGGCAAGGAGAGAGAGAGGGAGAAGGUUGGAGGGAGGGAGAGGCAGAAGGUUGGAGAGAGGGAAGGAGAGAGAGGGAGAAGGUUGGAGAGAGGGGAAGGAGAGGGAGAAGGUUGGAGGGAGGGAGAGAGGGAGAAGGUUGACUACCCCCUUCCUGAUAUGAACAGAAUGUAGACUACCCCCUCCUACCUGACUAUAACAGAAUGUAG